CUGGCGGCGUGCCUAACACAUGCAAGUCGAACGAAGCAGGGGGGCGGAAUCUCUCCGGAGGGGAAGCCCACCUGACUGAGUGGCGGACGGGUGAGUAACGCGUGGACAACCUACCCCGCACUGGGGGACAACAGCCGGAAACGGCUGCUAAUACCGCAUAUGCGCACGGCCCCGCAUGGGGCCGCGCGGAAAGCGCAUGCGGUGCGGGAUGGGUCCGCGUCUGAUUAGCUUGUUGGCGGGGUAACGGCCCACCAAGGCGACGAUCAGUAGCCGGCCUGAGAGGAAGGUCCCCCACACUGGUACUGAGACACGGACCAGACUCCUACGGGAGGCAGCAGUGAGGAAUAUUGGUCAAUGGCCGCAGGGCUGAACCAGCCAAGUCGCGUGAGGGAUGACGGUCCUGUGGAUUGUAAACCUCUUUUGUCAGGGAGCAAAGGGCGUCACGUGUGGCGCUUUGCGAGUACCUGAAGAAAAAGCAUCGGCUAACUCCGUGCCAGCAGCCGCGGUAAUACGGAGGAUGCGAGCGUUAUCCGGAUUUAUUGGGUUUAAAGGGUGCGCAGGCGGAAUGUCAAGUCAGCGGUAAAAUUUCGGGGCUCAACCCCGUCGUGCCCGUUGAAACUGGCGUUUCUUGAGUGAGCGAGAAGUAUGCGGAAAUGCGUGGUGUAGCGGUGAAAUGCAUAGAUAUCACGCAGAAACUCCGAAUGCGAAGGCCAGUAUACCGGCGCUCAACUGACGCUCAUGCACGAAAAGCGUGGGUAUCGAACAGGAUUAGAUAACCCUGGUAGUCCACGCAGUAAACGAUGAAUACUAACUGUCCGGGCCGAUUGAGGUCUGGGUGGUACAGCGAAAGCGUUAAGUAUUCCACCUGGGGAGUACGCCGGCAACGGUGAAACUCAAAGGAAUUGACGGGGGCCCGCACAAGCGGAGGAACAUGUGGUUUAAUUCGAUGAUACGCGAGGAACCUUACCCGGGCUCAAACGACGGAUGGAUGUUUUUGAAAGAAGGCAGCCCUUCGGGGCAUCCGUCGAGGUGCUGCAUGGUUGUCGUCAGCUCGUGCCGUGAGGUGUCGGCUUAAGUGCCAUAACGAGCGCAACCCCCAUCGCCAGUUACCAGCAAGUAAAGUUGGGGACUCUGGCGAGACUGCCGGCGCAAGCUGUGAGGAAGGCGGGGAUGACGUCAAAUCAGCACGGCCCUUACGUCCGGGGCGACACACGUGUUACAAUGGCAGGUACAGAGAGAAGCGAUGCGGCGACGCAGAGCGGAACUUCAAAGCCUGUCUCAGUUCGGAUUGGAGUCUGCAACCCGACUCCAUGAAGCUGGAUUCGCUAGUAAUCGCGCAUCAGCCACGGCGCGGUGAAUACGUUCCCGGGC
rnacentral:rRNA from 1 species